rnacentral:misc_RNA from 1 species
GUAGGUGAACCUGCGGAAGGAUCAUUACUGGGUAAAGGCCUCGUGCCUCCAACCCCACCCUCCGUAACCGCGGCCCGGAUUCGGCGCCUGGCGGGACCCCUCUCUGCUCGCGGAGAGAGCCCCGCCUGCCGGAAUCAGCCAACCCUUAUUGUCAACUGAAGUCUGAGAACAAGUCAAAUUAAAUAAAACUUUCAACAACGGAUCUCUUGGUUCUG